AGUGAACGCUGGCGGUAGGCCUAACACAUGCAAGUCGAACGGCAGCACAGUAAGAGCUUGCUCUUACGGGUGGCGAGUGGCGGACGGGUGAGGAAUACAUCGGAAUCUACUUUUUCGUGGGGGAUAACGUAGGGAAACUUACGCUAAUACCGCAUACGACCUACGGGUGAAAGCAGGGGAUCUUCGGACCUUGCGCGAUUGAAUGAGCCGAUUUCGGAUUAGCUAGUUGGCGGGGUAAAGGCCCACCAAGGCGACGAUCCGUAGCUGGUCUGAGAGGAUGAUCAGCCACACUGGAACUGAGACACGGUCCAGACUCCUACGGGAGGCAGCAGUGGGGAAUAUUGGACAAGGGGCGCAAGCCUGAUCCAGCCAUACCGCGUGGGUGAAGAAGGCCUUCGGGUUGUAAAGCCCUUUUGUUGGGAAAGAAAAGCAGCAGGUUAAUACCCCGCUGUUCUGACGGUACCCAAAGAAUAAGCACCGGCUAACUUCGUG
rnacentral:rRNA from 1 species